GUGCCUCUCGGUGGGGGAGGGGAGGGGUUACCAUGGGACAGGCCGGGCAGAUCACGUUCAAGGCCCUGCCAUUGCUGUCCUGGGGAGAAUUAUGGCCGUUGUGACGGGGAGGAGGUGGUAUGGGGAGACUGCAGGAUCGGGGCACAGGCUGCUGCUGAUGUCAGAGCCUGCCGCUGACUCUGGGACGGGUGUGGGGUGCUGGUGACCUCCUCCUGGGCCAAGGUUCUCUUCCUCAGCCUUUCCAGGCUGAGCGCCUUGUUAACUCUCACGGUCCCUCUGAGCAGGAAGGGCGCGGAGGGGAGUCAAGGCUGGAGAGAGAGGCGGAGGUCAGAGCCAGCCGGGUGGGCGUGGGAAGAUUCCUCCGCAGGUUCCCGGGAAGCAGAGGCCGGGAGUUGAGGGGACCUGGAGCUGGUGUGGCCUGGCCCCGAGGAGGGUACAUGCUUAUUUAAUGUCUAAAGAGUGCAGUGUUUUCCCCCAAAGGGGCCAUUGUGAGAGGGCAGCAGAAAGUUAAGGCAAGUUGAACUCAUUGGUCUUGAGGUCAUUAUUUACC